CCUACGGGUGGCUGCAGUGGGGGAUAUUGCACAAUGGGGGAAACCCUGAUGCAGCGACGCCGCGUGUGGGAAGACGGUCCUCUGGAUUGUAAACCACUUUCCCCAGGGACGAAGCUGACGGUACCUGGGGAGGAAGCUCCGGCUAACUACGUGCCAGCAGCCGCGGUAAUACGUAGGGAGCGAGCGUUGUCAGGAAUUACUGGGUGUAAAGGGAGCGUAGGCGGGGAUGCAAGUUGGGUGUCAAAACUACCGGCUCAACUGGUAGGCGACCUCAAAACUGCAGCUCUGGAGUGAAGUAGAGGCAGGCGGAAUUCCUGGUGGAGCGGGGAAAUGCGUAGAUAUUAGGAGGAACACCAGUGGCGAAGGCGGCCUGCGGGGCGUUUACUGACGCUGAGGCUCGAAAGUGUGGGGAGCAAACAGGAUUAGAUACCCGGGUAGUC
rnacentral:rRNA from 1 species